rnacentral:rRNA from 1 species
UACGUAGGGUGCGAGCGUUAAUCGGAGUUACUGGGCGUAAAGCGUGCGCAGGCGGAUUCGCAAGUCAGACGUGAAAUCCCCGGGCUUAACCUGGGAAUGGCGUUUGAAACUACGGAGCUGGAGUAUGGCAGAGGGGGGUGGAAUUCCACGUGUAGCGGUGAAAUGCGUAGAUAUGUGGAGGAACACCGAUGGCGAAGGCAGCCCCCUGGGCCAAUACUGACGCUCAUGCACGAAAGCGUGGGGAGCAAACAGG